rnacentral:rRNA from 1 species
UACGGGGGGAGCAAGCGUUGUUCGGAUUUACUGGGCGUAAAGGGCGCGUAGGCGGCCAGCACAAGUCAGUUGUGAAAUCUCCGAGCUUAACUCGGAAAGGUCAACUGAUACUGUGCGGCUAGAGUGCGGAAGGGGCAACUGGAAUUCUUGGUGUAGCGGUGAAAUGCGUAGAUAUCAAGAGGAACACCUGCGGCGAAGGCGGGUUGCUGGGCUGACACUGACGCUGAAGUGCGAAAGCCAGGGGAGCGAACGGG